CCUACGGGGGGCAGCAGUGAGGAAUAUUGGUCAAUGGCCGAGAGGCUGAACCAGCCAAGUCGCGUGAGGGAAGACGGCCCUACGGGUUGUAAACCUCUUUUGUCGGGGAGCAAAGCGAGUCACGUGUGACUCAUUGAGAGUACCCGAAGAAAAAGCAUCGGCUAACUCCGUGCCAGCAGCCGCGGUAAUACGGAGGAUGCGAUCGGUAUCCGGAUUUAUUGGGUUUAAAGGGUGCGCAGGCGGAGGUGCAAGUCAGCGGUCAAAUUGCGGGGCUCAACCCCGUACUGCCUCUGAGACUGUCGGGCUAGAGUGUAGUUGCGGUAGGCGGAAUGUAUGGUGUAGCGGUGAAAUGCAUAGAGAUCAUACAGAACACCGAUUGCGAAGGCAGCUUACCAAACUACGACUGACGUUGAGGCACGAAAGCGUGGGGAGCAAACAGGAUUAGAUACCCGAGUAGUC
rnacentral:rRNA from 1 species